rnacentral:rRNA from 1 species
UGGGGAAUAUUGCACAAUGGGCGCAAGCCUGAUGCAGCCAUGCCGCGUGUGUGAAGAAGGCCUUCGGGUUGUAAAGCACUUUCAGCGAGGAGGAAGGUGGUGAGCUUAAUACGUCAUCAAUUGACGUUACUCGCAGAAGAAGCACCGGCUAACUCCGUGCCAGCAGCCGCGGUAAUACGGAGGGUGCAAGCGUUAAUCGGAAUUACUGGGCGUAAAGCGCACGCAGGCGGUUUGUUAAGUCAGAUGUGAAAUCCCCGGGCUCAACCUGGGAACUGCAUUUGAAACUGGCAAGCUAGAGUCUCGUAGAGGGGGGUAGAAUUCCAGGUGUAGCGGUGAAAUGCGUAGAGAUCUGGAGGAAUACCGGUGGCGAAGGCGGCCCCCCUGGACGAAGACUGACGCUCAGGUGCGAAAGCGUGGGGCAGCAAACAGGAUUAGAUACCCUGGUAGUCCACGCUGUAAACGAUGUCGAUUUGGAGGUUGUGCCCUUGAGGCGUGGCUUCCGGAGCUAACGCGUUAAAUCGACCGCCU